AACCUUACUAGACAUUGUCACAAGUGGGAAGAGGUAACAGACAUCAUGCUGGAGUGAGGUGAUUGUAAAAGAGGUAAUAAGGAGAUCUCCAGAAACUGUUUCCUGGAAUUGAUGAAGUGUGCCACACAUAAGAGUAAGGUAAAACAUGAAAAAUGGCCAGGCGUCAUGGCCCUUUCCAGCCCUAAACAUAUGGUUGUGUUGGUUUAAUGUUAGAGAAAAUGAGCAUAACCAAGAAAGAAAGAUCUUUUUUUUUUUUUUUUUGAAACGGAGUCUCGCUCUGUCGCCCAGGAAAGCAUCUUAAUAGUAUUCCAAGGGUGUUGGUGUUUCUCAAGACAGCUGAGAUUUCCUCCCAUCUCCCAUCUAAUGGAUUCACACUCAGAAAAGUAACCAUAACUUUUCAGGGUAAUAUUCUGAGUGCACAGGUUUCUCUGAGAAGGGUCCAGGUGCCGCCAUUCCUCUCUGCUGAAAUCGAUAGCCACAUCCCUGAAGGACACUGAUCCCUGUAAGGGCAAAUUCCUGUUAAAUGUGCACAGUCAGCUUAGACGGUUGGAGAGACUAUAUUUAGGAAUAUGGAAUACAGGUCUUGUUGUUUUAAAUUUACAUUCUCUUUUUAAAAACUCACUCCCAUUUCUCUAAUACUUUAUUAUGAAAAUUUUCAAACAUACCGACAAUUUAAAAUAAUUGUGCAGUAAGAA
rnacentral:lncRNA from 1 species